CCUACGGGUGGCUGCAGUAGGGAAUAUUGCUCAAUGGGGGAAACCCUGAAGCAGCAACGCCGCGUGGAGGAUGACGGUUUUCGGAUUGUAAACUCCUUUUGUUAGAGAAGAUAAUGACGGUAUCUAACGAAUAAGCACCGGCUAACUCCGUGCCAGCAGCCGCGGUAAUACGGAGGGUGCAAGCGUUACUCGGAAUCACUGGGCGUAAAGGGCGCGUAGGCGGGAUAGCAAGUCAGAUGUGAAAUCCUAGGGCUUAACCAUAGAACUGCAUUUGAAACUGUUAUUCUAGAGUAUGGGAGAGGUAGGUGGAAUGCUUGGUGUAGGGGUAAAAUCCGUAGAGAUCAAGAGGAAUACUCAUUGCGAAGGCGACCUGCUAGAACAUAACUGACGCUGAUGCGCGAAAGCGUGGGGAGCAAACAGGAUUAGAUACCCGGGUAGUC
rnacentral:rRNA from 1 species